CACAAAGAUUUGCUAAGCAAAGUCAUGGGUUCUGUCACAGCCUCAGAUCUCAAAGACCCCACCUUGCCACUGCCUCUUUCCCCUUUAUGUCCCUCCCUACCACAGUAAGAAACCUAACCCUCCGUCUGUUCCUUCUUCCUGCAGGCACAGCUGGGCUCUACCAAGGGGCGAACGGACUGACCAACACAGCCGGAUUCGGGACAGUGCACCAGGACUAUCCUUCCUACCCUGGCUUCCCUCAGAGCCAGUACCCCCAGUAUUACAGCUCGUCCUACAACCCUCCUUACGUCCCCGCCAGCAGCAUCUGCCCUUCGCCCCUCUCCACAUCUACCUUUGUCCUCCAAGAGGCACCCCACAGCAUCCCCAGCCAGACCUCUGAGCCGCUGGCCGGUACGUAUUUCUUAUUUAAUUUUUUAUAUUUAUUACUGCAUGUUUGCAGUACAUGAUUGUAUUCAUUGUGGGGAGUUGGUACAAUACAUUACCCAUCUUAAAUACUUUUACUUUCCUUCCCCUCGCCUCCCUCCAUCUCUU
rnacentral:lncRNA from 1 species